rnacentral:rRNA from 1 species
GAUGAACGCUAGCUACAGGCUUAACACAUGCAAGUCGAGGGGUAACGAGAGGGAAGCUUGCUUUCCUUGUCGACGACCGGCGCACGGGUGAGUAACGCGUAUCCAACCUGCCCCCAACUAGGGAAUAACCUUGCGAAAGUAAGACUAAUACCCUAUAAUUUCCUCAGAUGUCAUCUGACGAGGAAUAAAGAUUUAUCGGUUGUGGAUGGGGAUGCGUCUGAUUAGCUUGUUGGCGGGGUAACGGCCCACCAAGGCAACGAUCAGUAGGGGUUCUGAGAGGAAGGUCCGCCACAUGGGAACUGAGACACGGGCCAAACUCCUACGGGAGGCAGCAGGGAGGAAUAUUGGUCAAUGGGCGGAAGCCUGAACCAGCCAAUUAGCGUGCAGGAUGACGGCCCUAUGGGUUGUAAACUGCUUUUAUACAGGAAUAAAGUUAGCCACGUGUGGUUAUUUGUAGGUACUGUAUGAAUAAGGACCGGCUAAUUCCGUGCCAGCAGCCGCCGUAA